rnacentral:sRNA from 1 species
CUUCUCGUCUUCUGUGGCUACAGAACACUGAGACAGGAACAUCUGUUGUUUGAACCAUAUAGUCUGUCACAUUUUGUUAUAGCAACCAGCCGCCUAAGUCCCCAUGCAACAAGAAUAUAGUCUUACCAGGGAGGGAAACCCAUUCUGAUGACCCAGUGGGUCACAUGCAGGCUGUGCUAGGGCUUCUGCUGAAGUUCCACUCUGAUUCCAAGUUUGUUGUAGUUUUGCCUUCUGUUGGUGUGAUAACACAUCCUAACAAGAUGAACUUCAGGAAAGAGUUUAUUUGCAUCAAUUCCGGGCUGCAGUUCAUCAUGCAGGGACAUCAGGGUGUCAGGAACUUGAAGCAGUUAGUCACACCCACUGUACAAAGCAGAGUUUUUACGUGGAUACCUGUACAGUGUGCUCAGCUGCUCUCUGCUUUCAUUCAGAGAUGGCCCCAGACCUUGAAACAGUGCUUCCUGCCCAUGUUCAGGGUAAAUCUUCAAACCUCAGGAUCUCCCAUUGCACUGCAAAUAACAAAACACGGUCAACCAUCUAGUAAGGAACCAUGGCCUCCCAUUGUCAGAUGUCUGGAGGUGGCUCUCCUUGGACUAGAAGAAAGACAAGAUGGAUCAUCAAUGGCAAAGGUCGGGAAGCAGCAUCUACAGCCAGCUUCACACAGGAGGGAACUGUGCCUCGAAGCCUCAUGGUCUUGGAUGCUCUGUACAGAGAAACUCCUCUAGUAAUGAACUAUAGAGAUGACCCCUGUGAUGGUUUGUAUAUGCUUG